GGGGAAUAUUGGGCAAUGGACGCAAGUCUGACCCAGCAACGCCGCGUGAAGGAAGAAGGCUUUCGGGUUGUAAACUUCUUUUAAGGGGGAAGAGUAGAAGACGGUACCCCUUGAAUAAGCCACGGCUAACUACGUGCCAGCAGCCGCGGUAAUACGUAGGUGGCAAGCGUUGUCCGGAUUUACUGGGUGUAAAGGGCGUGUAGCCGGGAAGGCAAGUCAGAUGUGAAAUCUGGAGGCUCAACCUCCAAACUGCAUUUGAAACUGCUUUUCUUGAGUGUCGGAGAGGUAAUCGGAAUUCCUUGUGUAGCGGUGAAAUGCGUAGAUAUAACACAGAACCCCGAUUGCGAAGGCAGCUUACCGGGCUACAUCUGACGCUGAUGCACGAAAGCGUGGGAAUCAAACA
rnacentral:rRNA from 1 species